rnacentral:ncRNA from 1 species
UUGAGCCGGAUGAAAGGAAACUUUCACGUCCGGUUUUUAAGGGGGGAGAUUGUGAGAUUCCGUCUGAGGAUUUCACAUUAAGCGUUGAGAUGAGUAGUACUGGGUUUUCCAACUAUCCGGC